UUUCAGAGGGCGAAGAAGCAACGCGGAGACGGUGGUGACUGGAGUGCGCGGUCGCGACAACUACUGCCACCGCCAUGAGCCUCCUCAACAAGCCCAAGAGUGAGAUGACGCCAGAGGAGCUGCAGAAGCGGGAGGAGGAGGAGUUUAACACGGGGCCGCUGUCCGUGCUCACACAGUCGGUCAAGAACAACACCCAAGUGCUCAUCAACUGCCGCAACAACAAGAAGCUCCUGGGCCGCGUGAAGGCCUUUGACAGGUGAGCACCUGGGUCUGGGGAGGUGGUCUGUCCUGGCCUGGAGAAGCAGUCCCAGCUCUAGUCUGAGGAGCCUGGAUUCUAGGUUUCUUAGAAGCCUGGGGCAUAAGCGUCUGAAGGUGGGGUUCCUGUCAUGUCUCAGUGGUUAACGAACCCAACCAGUAUCCAUGAGGACACAGGUUCGAUCCUUGGCCUUCCUCAGUGGGUUAAGGAUCCGGCAUUGCAGUGAGCUGUGGUGUAGGUCGCAGGUGUGGCUCAGAUCCCAUGUCUGUGGUUGUGGUGUAGGCCGGCAGCGGUAGCUCCGAUUUGAACCCUAGCCUGGGAACCUCCAUAUGCUUCCGGUGUGGGCUUAAAAAAAAGAGUGCCUGUUGUGACGGUCUCUGUUGUUCCUCCAGCUGUAAAGUUCAGCCAUGGACUUGGGGGCCAGUCCUGGAAUGAUGUCCUGGCUCUGCCUCUUAGCAGCCGUGUGACAUUCAGCAAGGGACCAUAUAUCUCUUCCCUACAAUGGCCGUAAUCUUGAUGGUUGCAAAGAUUCAGUCACUUAAUAUAUGUGAAGCACAGUCAGUCCUUAGGAGUAGCGCCCCCGGCACACGGUCUUCCUCAUCAGUUUUCUCAGUUCGUGCACAGUGGCCUCUGCCCUUGUGGGGUACUGUCUUAGGCUCCAGAGAUGCCAUGGUGACUGAAUCAUACAUGCCUCCUGUACUCAGGGGAGUCUACAGCAAACACAUAAUGUGUCAGGAAGACAAGUGAUGGCAAAGUCUGUGCAGAAGAGUAGAGCCAGCUGAGAGUUUGGAGUGUGGAGAGGGAGUGCUGCUGUCCUCGGUGGGUCAUGCAGGAGGCCUUCUAGGUGGACAGAUGGGGAUAAAACGAAGGUGCAACCUAGGGUCUGCAUGUUUCAGCCAUGGGGAGCAGCAAGUGAUUUUUCCUCUCUGGGCCUCAGUUUCCUUAUCUGCAAAAUACUAUGCAUAGAAUAAUACCCCUCAGAACAGUCGUAAGGGUCAAAUGAUUUUCUGUAGGAAGAGCACUUAACUCAGUACCUAACAUGUGGCAAAGGCUCAGUAAACAUAUGAUCGGCAGGAGUUCCCUUUGUGGCUCAGCGGUAAAUGAUCCCUACUAGCAUUCAUGAGGGCGCAGGUUCGAUCCCUGGCCUUGCUCAGUGGGUUAAAGGAUCCGGCAUUGCCAUGAGCUGUGAUGUAGGUCACAGAAGUGGCUUGGAUCUGGGGUUGCUGCGGCUGUGGUGUAGGCCAGUGGUUACAGCUCCGAUUCAACCCCUAGUCUGGAACUUUCAUAUGCCACAGAUGCUGCCCGAAAAAGACAAAAAAACCAAAAUAACAACAACAGCAAAAAACCAUUGGCAGUCCUCAGCAUCAGGGAAGUGCUUUCCUCUCGGCAGGGGGGUGAAGCUUACCUCUGGAUUGCUUUUGCCAAUGGCUACUGUGGGACCAAGAACAAAGCUUUCACUCUGAGCCUCAAUUUACUCUUGAGUAAAGUGAGAACGAGAACGAUAGGAAGUGCCGAGCCCAAGGAGGCAGAUAGACCUGGAUUCGAACUCAGGCUCUGCCUCUUCCAAACUGUCUGACCUUGGGUGAGUGGCUUCAUCCCGCUCUUCUCAGUUUCCUGCUCUGGAAGCUGGAAGGAACUCCAAUGUGUGCCUCCUGGGGGUGAGAUGCUGUGAGGAUUGAUGAGUUAAUGCUUAGAAAGUCUUGGAGUUCCUGUCGCAGCGCAGUGGUUAAUGAGUCCGACUAGGAACCAUGAGGUUGCGGAUUUGAUCCCUGGCCUUGCUCAGUGGGUUAAGGAUCCAGCAUUGCCGUGAGCUGUGGUGUAGGUCGCAGAUGCGGCCUGGAUCUGGCGUUGCUAUGGCUGUGGUGUGGGCUGGAAGCUGCAGCUCCGAUUAGACCCCUAGCCUGGGAACCUCCAUAUACCGCAGGUGCGACUCUAGAAAAGACAAAAAGACACACACACACAAAAAACUUGGAGGAGUUCCCGUUGUAGCGCAGUGGUUAACGAGUCUGACUAGGAACCAUGACGUUGCCGGUUCGGUCCCUGCCCUUGCUCAGUGGGUUUACGAUCCGGCAUUGCCGUGAGCUGUGUGUAGGUUGCAGACGCGGCUCGGAUCCUGUGUUGCUGUGGCUCUGGCAUAGGCUGGCGGCUACAGCUCCGAUUGGACCCCUAGCCUGGGAACCUCCAUAUGCCGCGGGAGCGGCCCAAGAAAUGGCAAAAAGACAAAAAAACACAAACAAACAAACAAACAAAAAAAACUUGGAAAGUCUUAAAGAGGCCUAGUAGUGGAGUUACUGUUGUGGCGCAGUGGAAAGGAAUCUGUCUAGUAUCCACGAGGAUGCGGGUUCAAUUCCUGGCCUUGCUCAGUGGGUCGGGGAUCCGGCGUUGCCCUGAGCUGUGAUGUAGGUCGCAGACGUGGCUCAGAUCUGUGGCUGUGGCAUAGCCCAGCGGCUACAGCUCUGAUUCGACCCCUAGCCUGGGAAUCUCCAUAUGCCUCAGGUGUGGCCCUAAAAAGACAAAAUAAAAAAAAA
rnacentral:lncRNA from 1 species